UACGGGGGGGGCAAGCGUUGUUCGGAAUUACUGGGCGUAAAGGGUUUGUAGGUGGCCCGCUAAGUCACACGUGAAAUCCCUCAGCUUAACUGGGGAACUGCGUGUGAGACUGGCAGGCUCGAGGGCAGGAGAGGAACGCGGAAUUCCAGGUGUAGCGGUGAAAUGCGUAGAUAUCUGGAGGAACACCGGUGGCGAAGGCGGCGUUCUGGGCCAAUACUGACACUGAGGUGCGAAAGCGUGGGGAGCAAACAGG
rnacentral:rRNA from 1 species